rnacentral:rRNA from 1 species
AGUGAACGCUGGCGGUAGGCCUAACACAUGCAAGUCGAACGGCAGCACAGUAAGAGCUUGCUCUUACGGGUGGCGAGUGGCGGACGGGUGAGGAAUACAUCGGAAUCUACUUUUUCGUGGGGGAUAACGUAGGGAAACUUACGCUAAUACCGCAUACGACCUACGGGUGAAAGCAGGGGAUCUUCGGACCUUGCGCGAUUGAAUGAGCCGAUGUCGGAUUAGCUAGUUGGCGGGGUAAAGGCCCACCAAGGCGACGAUCCGUAGCUGGUCUGAGAGGAUGAACAGCCACACUGGAACUGAGACAAGGGCCAGACUCCUACGGGAGGCAGCCGUGGGGAAUAUUUGACAAUGGGCGCAAGCCUGAUCCAGCCAUACCGCGGGGGUGAAGAAGGCCUUCGGGUUGUAAAGCCCUUUUGUUGGGAAAGAAAAGCAGCAGGUUAAUACCCCGCUGUUCUGACGGUACCCAAAGAAUAAGCACCGGCUAACUUCGUGC